rnacentral:rRNA from 1 species
UAUAGCGGUUCUUUAACAUGCAAGUCGAACGGAGUCUUCGGACAUAGUGGCGGACGGGUGAGUAACGCGUGAGAAUCUAGCUUCAGGUCUAGGACAACCACUGGAAACGGUGGCUAAUACUGGAUGUGCCGAAAGGUGAAAGGCUUGCUGCCUGAAGAUGAACUCGCGUCUGAUUAGCUAGUUGGUGGGGUAAGAGCCUACCAAGGCGACGAUCAGUAGCUGGUCUGAGAGGAUGAUCAGCCACACUGGGACUGAGACACGGCCCAGACUCCUACGGGAGGCAGCAGUGGGGAAUUUUCCGCAAUGGGCGAAAGCCUGACGGAGCAAUACCGCGUGAGGGAGGAAGGCUCUUGGGUUGUAAACCUCUUUUCUCAGGGAAGAACACAAUGACGGUACCUGAGGAAUCAGCAUCGGCUAACUCCGUGCCAGCAGCCGCGGUAAUACGGAGGAUGCAAGCGUUAUCCGGAAUGAUUGGGCGUAAAGCGUCCGCAGGUGGCCUUGUAAGUCUGCUGUCAAAGAGCGAAGCUCAACUUCGUAAAGGCAGUGGAAACUACACGGCUAGAGUGCGUUCGGGGCAAAGGAAUUCCUGGUGUAGCGGUGAAAUGCGUAUAACAA